rnacentral:rRNA from 1 species
GAUGAACGCUGGCGGCGUGCCUAAUACAUGCAAGUCGAGCGAACGGACGAGAAGCGUGCUUCUCUGAUGUUAGCGGCGGACGGGUGAGUAACACGUGGAUAACCGACCUAUAAGACUGGGGUAACUUCGGGAAACCGGAGCUAGUACCGGAUAAUAUUUUGAACCGCAUGGUUCAAAAGAGAAAGACGUUCUUGCUGUCACUUAUAGAUAGAUCCGAGCUGCAUUAGCUAGUUGGUAAGGUAACGGCUUACCAAGGCAACGAUGCAUAGCCGACCUGAGAGGGUGAUCGGCCACACUGGAACUGAGACACGGUCCAGACUCCUACGGGAGGCAGCAGUAGGGAAUCUUCCGCAAUGGGCGAAAGCCUGACGGAGCCACGCCGCGUGUGUGAUGAAGGUCUUCGGAUCGUAAAACUCUGUUAGUAGGGAAGAACAUAUGUGUAAGUAACUGUGCACAUCUUGACGGUACCUAAUGAGAAAGCCACGGCUAACUUCGUG